rnacentral:rRNA from 1 species
GACGAACGCUGGCGGCGUGCCUAAUACAUGCAAGUAGAACGCUGAAGGAGGAGCUUGCUUCUCCGGAUGAGUUGCGAACGGGUGAGUAACGCGUAGGUAACCUGCCUGGUAGCGGGGGAUAACUAUUGGAAACGAUAGCUAAUACCGCAUAAUAGCAGUUAUUGCAUGAUAACUGUUUGAAAGGUGCAAUUGCACCACUACCAGAUGGACCUGCGUUGUAUUAGCUAGUUGGUGGGGUAACGGCUCACCAAGGCGACGAUACAUAGCCGACCUGAGAGGGUGAUCGGCCACACUGGGACUGAGACACGGCCCAGACUCCUACGGGAGGCAGCAGUAGGGAAUCUUCGGCAAUGGACGGAAGUCUGACCGAGCAACGCCGCGUGAGUGAAGAAGGUUUUCGGAUCGUAAAGCUCUGUUGUAAGAGAAGAACGAGUGUGAGAGUGGAAAGCUCACACUGG